rnacentral:lncRNA from 1 species
GACAAAUUUAUUUUGUAAAGGUAGAUAACUCCUAUAAAAUUUCAUCAAAUCGCUUCGAUCCAAUUAGCCAAAAAUUCCUGAGGAUGUAACGAACAAUUUGUAAAAAGAAUUUUGUCGAUAUCUUUUUUUGUUACAAAGGAGAUGCACUCGGAUGAUAAACAGUGAAUAGGGAGAUAACUCUUACAAAGAAAAUGGUUCGCCUUAGCAGGGUGAAAUUUAAAAGCGCAUGACCUAUACGAUACCAUAUGAGAAAUAUCUAAGCGACAUAUUGCGAAACAAACAUUUAUCGCAAGAACAAAAUUUGGCGGAAGAAAAAAAAAAAAUAACAAAUAUUAAAAACCAAUUGUUCAGAGAACAAUUGAAAGUCUCUUUCCACCGGUAAAGAUCUAUUUUGAUAUAAAAAUAUUAAAAAUCAGUCUAAAAUGUCACUUCCUAUGGCUUUAUGAUGUAUAAAUAUGAAUUUAAAGCAAAAGUCAAAAUCUAGAACGUCCUAUUAACCAAUGACCUUGAGCUCAUUUUCAAGGUCAAAAACCAAGGACCUCAAAUCAAAAGAUGCAAGGUCUUAUAAUAUGUAUGGAUAAUGAGUUAUAUCACUUUAUGCAUAAUUCUAAAUAUAAGAUGGGCUAAAACUCCCAUUUAUUGUUUACGCACCCUUUCAACCAAAAUUUAUAAGUUACGACAUGUCGUAACUCACAAUUUAGUAAAAAUAACAUGUCGAUAUGUUAUACGGUUUUUGAAGAAAAGUGAAAAUAAGCCAAAAUCAAAAUUUAUAAUAUGACCUUGACCUUUGACCUUGACCUUAUUUUCAUUUUUUUGGACCAAGGACUUAAA